AGCCAGGGUCUCGAACCGGAUUAGAUACCCGGGUAGUCCUGGCCGUAAACGAUGCCUGUUAGGUGUGGCUCCCACUACGAGUGGGUGCUGUGCCGUAGGGAAGCCGCUAAACAGGCCGCCUGGGAAGUACGUCCGCAAGGAUGAAACUUAAAGGAAUUGGCGGGGGAGCACUACAACCGGAGGAGCCUGCGGUUUAAUUGGACUCAACGCCGGACAUCUCACCAGCAUCGACUGUGGUAAUGACGGUCAGGUUGAUGACCUCGCCACGAGCCACAGAGAGGAGGUGCAUGGCCGCCGUCAGCUCGUACCGUGAGGCGUCCUGUUAAGUCAGGCAACGAGCGAGACCCGCAUCCUUACUUGCCAGCAACACUGCGAAGUGGUUGGGGACAGUAGGGAGACCGCCGUGGCCAACACGGAGGAAGGAACGGGCAACGGUAGGUCAGUAUGCCCCGAAUGUGCUGGGCAACACGCGGGCUACAAUGGUCGAGACAGAGGGUUCCUACUCCGAAAGGAGACGGUAAUCUCAGAAACUCGAUCGUAGUUCGGAUUGUGGGCUGCAACUCGCCCACAUGAAGCUGGAUUCGGUAGUAAUCGCGUGUCAUAAGCGCGCGGUGAAUACGUCCCUGCUCC
rnacentral:rRNA from 1 species